GGAAGCUCAGUAACACGUGGCCAAACUACCCUGUGGAUGGGAAUAAUCUCGGGAAACUGAGGCUAAUUCCCAAUAAUGCUUCACCCCUGGAAUGGGUGAAGCUGGAAACGCUACGGCGCCACAGGAUGUGGCUGCGGUCGAUUAGGUAGACGGUGGGGUAACGGCCCACCGUGCCAAUAAUCGGUACGGGUUGUGAGAGCAAGAGCCCGGAGACGGAAUCUGAGACAAGAUUCCGGGCCCUACGGGGCGCAGCAGGCGCGAAACCUUUACACUGUACGCAAGUGCGAUAAGGGGACUCCGAGUGUGAAGGCAUAGAGCCUUCACUUUUGUACACCGUAAGGUGGUGUACGAAUAAGGGCUGGGCAAGACCGGUGCCAGCCGCCGCGGUAAUACCGGCAGCCCGAGUGAUGGCCGAUAUUAUUGGGCCUAAAGCGUCCGUAGCUGGCCGGACAAGUCCGUUGGGAAAUCUGUUCGCUUAACGAGCAGGCGUCCAGCGGAAACUGUUCGGCUUGGGACCGGAAGACCUGAGGGGUACGUCCGGGGUAGGAGUGAAAUCCUGUAAUCCUGGACGGACCACCGGUGGCGAAAGCGCCUCAGGAGGACGGAUCCGACAGUGAGGGACGAAAGCUAGGGUCUCGAACCGGAUUAGAUACCCGGGUAGUCCUAGCUGUAAACGAUGCCCGCUAGGUUGUGGCGCAGGCUACGAGCCUGCGCUGUGCCGUAGGGAAGCCGAGAAGCGGGCCGCCUGGGAAGUACGUCUGCAAG
rnacentral:rRNA from 1 species